AGAAUUGAACAUUUCAGCGAAUUUUUACCUUAAACCUAAAGUUUUUUUUCUACAGAGCUAGAAUAUUUCAGGGACACAUCAAGAUAAUGUUACUGCAUCUAACCUUCUGGUUACGCAGACUGUUCCACCACGAUGUUGGUUAAUGUUGAACUGCUUCGUCACUAAGGUACAAAUUCAAGCCAAAGGCAACUGCAGGACUUUAAGCACGCAGGUCCAGUAAAGAGAUUCUGUCAGAGACCCUGCUGGAAAACAAAGCAAUUCCAAAUGUUGGGACAUCAUUGCUGUGUGAAAAGUAGCGAAGAGAAGACGUUACAAGUAAGUGUUAAGAUAAAUAAGGAUUGUAAAAGGAUGAGAACAAGGGAUGU